rnacentral:rRNA from 1 species
UACGUAGGGUGCAAGCGUUGUCCGGAAUUAUUGGGCGUAAAGAGCUCGUAGGCGGUCUGUUGCGUCGGCUGUGAAAACCCGGGGCUCAACCCCGGGCCUGCAGCCGAUACGGGCAGACUAGAGUUCGGCAGGGGAGACUGGAAUUCCUGGUGUAGCGGUGAAAUGCGCAGAUAUCAGGAGGAACACCGGUGGCGAAGGCGGGUCUCUGGCCUGUAACUGACGCUGAGGCGCGAAAGCUAGGGGAGCAAACGGG